rnacentral:rRNA from 1 species
AUUGAACGCUGGCGGCAGGCCUAACACAUGCAAGUCGAGCGGAUGAAGGGAGCUUGCUCCUGGAUUCAGCGGCGGACGGGUGAGUAAUGCCUAGGAAUCUGCCUGGUAGUGGGGGAUAACGUCCGGAAACGGGCGCUAAUACCGCAUACGUCCUGAGGGAGAAAGUGGGGGAUCUUCGGACCUCACGCUAUCAGAUGAGCCUAGGUCGGAUUAGCUAGUUGGUGGGGUAAAGGCCUACCAAGCCGACGAUCCGUAACUGGUCUGAGAGGAUGAUCAGUCACACUAGAACUGAGACACGGUCCAGACUCCUACGGGAGGCAGCAGUGGGGAAUAUUGGACAAUGGGCGAAAGCCUGAUCCAGCCAUGCCGCGUGUGUGAAGAAGGUCUUCGGAUUGUAAAGCACUUUAAGUUGGGAGGAAGGGCAGUAAGUUAAUACCUUGCUGUUUUGACGGUACCAACAGAAUAAGCACCGGCUAACUUCGUG